UACGUAGGGGGCAAGCGUUGUCCGGAAUUAUUGGGCGUAAAGGGCGCGUAGGCGGCCUGCUAAGUCGAACGUGAAAUCCCUGGGCUCAACCCAGGAACUGCGUCCGAUACUGGCAGGCUUGAAUCCGGGAGAGGGAUGUGGAAUUCCAGGUGUAGCGGUGAAAUGCGCAGAUAUCUGGAGGAACACCGGUGGCGAAGGCGGCAUCCUGGACCGGUAUUGACGCUGAUGCGCGAAAGCCAGGGGAGCAAACGGG
rnacentral:rRNA from 1 species